CCAAGACUAUGAUGUGUAGCCGGGCUGAGAGGUUGAACGGCCACAUUGGGACUGAGACACGGCCCAAACUCCUACGGGAGGCAGCAGUAGGGAAUUUUCGGCAAUGGAGGAAACUCUGACCGAGCAACGCCGCGUGAACGAUGAAGUAUUUCGGUACGUAAAGUUCUUUUAUUAGGGAAGAAUAAAUGAUGGAAAAAUCAUUCUGACGGUACCUAAUGAAUAAGCCCCGGCUAACUAUGUGCCAGCAGCCGCGGUAAUACAUAGGGGGCAAGCGUUAUCCGGAAUUAUUGGGCGUAAAGGGUGCGUAGGCGGUUAAAUAAGUUUAUGGUCUAAGUGCAAUGCUUAACAUUGUGAUGCUAUAAAAACUGUUUAACUAGAGUAAGAUAGAGGCAAGUGGAAUUCCAUGUGUAGUGGUAAAAUGCGUAAAUAUAUGGAGGAACACCAGUAGCGAAGGCGGCUUGCUGGGUCUUUACUGACGCUGAGGCACGAAAGCGUGGGGAGCAAACAGGAUUAGAUACCCUGGUAGUCCACGCCGUAAACGAUGAGUACUAAAUGUUGGGUAAAACCAGUGUUGAAGUUAACACAUUAAGUACUCGGCCUGAGUAGUACGUACGCAAGUAUGAAACUUAAAGGAAUUGACGGGACUCCGCACAAGCGGUGGAUCAUGUUGUUUAAUUCGAAGGUACCCGAAAAACCUCACCAGGUCUUGACAUGCUUCUGCAAAGCUGUAGAAACACAGUGGAGGUUAUCAGUUGCACAGGUGGUGCAUGGUUGUCGUCAGCUCGUGUCGUGAGAUGUUGGGUUAAGUCCCGCAACGAGCGCAACCCUUAUUGUUAGUUGCCAGCACGUAAUGGUGGGGACUUUAGCAAGACUGCCAGUGAUAAAUUGGAGGAAGGUGGGGACGACGUCAAAUCAUCAUGCCCCUUAUGACCUGGGCUACAAACGUGAUACAAUGGCUGUUACAAAGGG
rnacentral:rRNA from 1 species